CGUAGUUCAGUUGGUUAGAGCGUCAGAUUGUGGUUCUGAAUGUCGUGGGUUCGAAUCCCAUCG
rnacentral:tRNA from 1 species